UACAGAGGAUGCAAGCGUUAUCCGGAAUGAUUGGGCGUAAAGCGUCUGUAGGUGGCUUUUUAAGUCCGCCGUCAAAUCCCAGGGCUCAACUCUGGACAGGCGGUGGAAACUGCCAAGCUGGAGUGCGGUAGAGGCAGAGGGAAUUUCCGGUGGAGCGGUGAAAUGCGUAGAGAUCGGGAAGAACACCAGCGGCGAAAGCGCUCUGCUGGGCCGACACUGACACUGAGAGACGAAAGCUAGGGGAGCGAAUGGG
rnacentral:rRNA from 1 species